GUGGUCCUGAUCUCCACGUGUCCAUGGGGUCCUCCUUAUCCACGAUGGUUGGUCUCUGGCUGCUGGAGAGUUAUCAUCCCUGCAUAUUUGGAGCUCCUCCUCCCUCAACAAUACAUAUCCUGCCCUGCAGAUAGUCUUCCAUUCAGGAAAUUACAAAGAAGGAAUCAUACUUGAAUUUCCUUGUGAGUUCCAAGCAGGGAUCAGGGAACAUAAUGCAAAGGCUAUGGGGUGAUAUGACUGAACUUAUACUACAUGGC